rnacentral:misc_RNA from 1 species
AAAGUCGUAACAAGGUCUCCGUUGGUGAACCAGCGGAGGGAUCAUUAGCGAGUUUUAAACUCCCAACCCUCGUGGACAUACCUAUGUUGCUUCGGCGGGGCGCCCUGAACGGGGCGCGGCUCCCUCGGGGGCACCCGCCGGUGGCGCGCACACAAACUCUGCCUUCUGAAGAAUCCUGAGUAGGCUAUAAAUAAGUCAAAACUUUCAGCAACGGAUCUCUUGGUUCUG